AGAAGCAGCAAACCGAGCAUCAGGUGCCUGCUGGGCCGUGGGAUUGGAGGACUCAUUAACAUACGAUGAUGCUUCCGAACAUGUAAGGACCGCCAGCAGUAGUAACCAGUUCCAUAAACGAAAAGCCAUAAACAUUGCAGGACCCAUGCCUGUGCGACUCUGACUUCGCACCUGGGUCCUGAUGUAUGCCACGCCUCUGCGGCACGGGAAAUGGGUUGAAAGUGGAAGAUAGAUGUAACCCACUUCCACCAUGAAAAUCCAGAUGCCUGGAUGGACUUCCAAAGUUGUCUUGAAUAGCAGGACUGUUCAAAUGGCAAACUUUGCAUCUGAAUGGUUUCUGGAACUAAACCAUCCUACCAGGCAAGAACCUUGAAUGAGGCACUUCAGCAAGUUGACACUUCAGGGAGGCCUGACUAAGCCAAUGUCCUGUACUGUCAGUGUCCCUUCAAUCCCAGAUUUUAGAGUCAAUUAUUAAACAUCUGUACUUCA
rnacentral:lncRNA from 1 species